rnacentral:rRNA from 1 species
AUUGAACGCUGGCGGCGUGCCUAACACAUGCAAGUCGAGCGGUAACAGGUGUAGCAAUACAUGCUGACGAGCGGCGAACGGGUGAGUAAUGCUUUGGAAUCUUCCCAGUAGUGGGAAUAACCAGUCGAAAGAUUGGCUAAUACCGCAUACGUCUAGUAAAAGGGAAAGCGGGGGCUCGUAAGACCUCGCGCUAUUGGAUGAGCCAAAGUCGGAUUAGCUAGUUGGUGGGGUAAGGCCUACCAAGGCGACAAUCCGUAGCUGGUCUGAGAGGACGACCAGCCACACCGGAACUGAGACACGGUCCGGACUCCUACGGGAGCAGCAGUGGGGAAUAUUGGACAAGUCGGGGGAAACCCUGAUCCAGCGA